UUUAGCUGUUUAACUUUGGGUUAGAUCUUCUGACCUUAAUUUCUUUAUCUGAAAAUUAUUAAAUUAGGACUUAUGUGAUAGAGUUGUUGUGGAAUUCUUAGAGUCCUCAGAAUUUCAGGGGAUUUGUGAAUCUCGAAUUGAAAAAAAAAUUAACCUUAUUCCUAUUAAGCUCUCAGAAAAUUUUCUUCAAUUAUGGAAGGCAGGCAAGAACGCAAGAGUAUGGAUUUGUUUCCUGUAGAAAUUACAGGUACUUUCAUACCAUAGUACAGUGGUAGUAGAUAUUUUGAAAUAUUGUUUAUCAUCACUACUUUAAAAUUAUCAUAUUUAUUGGAAUUGCCAUUAGAUAUGUUGCUAGCUUGUAUAUGAUUCUGGAAUUUUUCUACAGCCUUCACAUCACUUAGUUGGCUAAGCAUUUCACAAUUCUGUGCUUCUUGGCCAAAGGUGACACUGUGAGGUCUGAAUGUUUGUUUGUUCUCACAUCUUCUACGAUGCAUGUCAGUAUUCCCCAAAUAUGAAUGUUUGCCGAACACCAGGUGAAAAGGGGUGAGCUGCCUUAAUUUCAGUAAUGGUGUUUAUUUAUAGUUGAUUUAUUUGUAAUUGCAUGAAUUUAUGCAUUUAUAAAUACCAUUUCAAGUCUGGGUUAUUAGGCUUCAUCAGGUUAUCAAAGGUGUUCAUGAUACAAGAAUAGGAGGUAGAGGAAUAAAAGGGAACAGCACUUUGUCCAUAUCAAAUGUUCAGUAAAGAGUUUGCUGCUAUUUUUAAAACACUCAGAGCUGGAAUUGAAUUAACUCCUAUUCAUUUUGGCAUUCUAAGUGUCUAAUAUAGCUCUGUACUCUCGGGCUCCCUUAACUCUGAAUGAAUGAAUAAAAGAAUAAAUGAAGUGGUGUGGGUUGAAUUGAGGCUGUAAAGAACAGCUGUUAAGUUGCAGAUGGCUUCUGCGCAUUCAAGGGGCUCUGUAUGGUGUAACAGGGCUUCAUGGGGCUCAAUAUGUACAACGUUGGAUUCACAGGACCCUCGCGUAUUCCCGGGACCUGAUGUCAGUGUCAGUAGCAGGACAGCCUACAAUUCAGAUCAUCCAGCGAGAGAACCGUGUCCUACACAGCUUGGAUCUGGGGAGAACCCUGGCUGCGAACGCAGCAUCGGGCGCACAGAGGCCAAGCGCUCCCUGGCCACGCCCACUUCCUGC
rnacentral:lncRNA from 1 species